ACAAUUGUUACUCAUUAGUGCAAUCCUUCCCUUCAACAUUCUAUAAAACUAAAGCAGCAAAUAAAAUAACAAUGUAAUAGCAAUAAAUGAGUGCAAUACGCUAAAUGGAAACAACAAGUUCUUUUAAAACACACACAAAAUGCCAGAGGAACUCGGCAGGUCAGACAGCAUCUACUGAAAUGAAUAAACUGUCAAUGUUUCAGGCUGAGACCCUUCUUCAGAAUUGGAAAGGAAAGGAGUAGAUGCCAGAAUAAAAAGAGGGGAGGGAUGGAGAGGGAGAGAAGCUGAUGAGUGAAGCCAGGUGGAUGGAAAAGGCAAAGGGCUAGAGAAGAAGGAAUCUCAUAGGAAAGGAGAGUGGACCAUGGGAGAAAGGGAAGGAGGGUCAAGUUCUUUUGCUAGUUUAAGAGGAUUGUUUUGUGAAAUCAGCUAAGAUGUAGAACUGAGAACCAAGUAGGAUAUAUCUGCCACUUCCAAGGAUCAUUAUUCUUCAGUAUUUCUGGAUCUGCAGAGUAAGAAAUAAUUUAUCUGCAGAUGCUGCAUCAUAAUGUAUUUUAUUUGCUUUUUGAGAUCUGGAGUUGUUAUAAAGAGGAUGAGGAGGAAAGGUAGAUGAAGAAAGUGAUGUUUUAAGAGCAUAAAAAAACAGAAACUGGAGAAGACAUUCAUUCACCUAAGACCAUGACUCUCAAUGCCACUUACUUACAGUAACUCUGCAACAUUUGAUUCCGUUCAAAUCCAAAAUCCGUAAGAAUAAUUGGAAGUGGAAUUGGUUUAGUAUUAUCACACGUAGAGGCACAGUGAAAAACUUGGCAGUAUACUGCUCAUACAGAUCAAAUCAUUGCACAGUGCAUUGAGGUAGAACAAAGUAAAACAGUAAUAGAAUGCAGAAUAAAGUGCAACAGCAAGAGAAAGUACAGUGCAGGUAAAUAUUAAAGUACACAGUCAUAACGGGGUAGAUUGCGAGGCCAAGAGACCAUCUUAUUAUACAAGGGGGUACCAUGCGCAAUCAUAAUUGGAUGAAAACGGACAUGGGAGCAUGGAGGAAUAUCUGAAAAUCUCCAGGAAGACCUUCUUCAUUGCUGCUGUUGCUGUGAGGUCCGGGUCUCUGCUGGGAAGAACAGGCCCCCAGUCCUCGGGGUCGCGUUGCUGAUGGCUGUUGGCGGGGCCGUCUUAAUAUGCUCGGAGAAGCUGUGCCGGAGGCUCGGAGGUUCAACAGACUCUGAGUCCGCUGCAGUCAGGUCGCUUUCAGUGUGUGCUGCGUCUGCGAGGCUGAAUCAGGCGGCGCCGUGGAAGUCCAUAGCGGGGGUAUUCCCUUCUGCCACCGGUGUGGGAUGAUGAGUCAAUCGGGACCCUGAGUACUUGUGUAAACUGUGUGGUGGUUUCUUUCGAACUUAUAGUGUUUUAACAUCUUUGGACUAUUUUUACUGUGCCCAUGGUCUGUUUUUUUUAAUCAAUUAUGCUAUUGUUUGCACUGUUGUAACUAUAUGUUGUAAAUAUGUGGUUUUGUGCAGGUCUUGUAGCUUUAGUUUUUGGUCUUGUUUUGUCUGGUGGGAUUUGGAGCUCCUUUCCAGGGUACGCGCUAAGAUGGUAGCGCGAUAUUAAUAAGCAGCAGCCUCUCCGGACUCUGGAUUGGGGAUUGCCAAACGUUAUGUGGAUUUUCUGGUGUAGUCUGUUUUGUCGUGUGUUUUUGUGAUAUCAUUCUGGAGAAACGUUGUCUCAUUUUUUAACUGCAUUGCAUUUGUGGUUUUUAAAUGACAAUAAACUGAAUCUGAAUCUGAA